UACGUAGGGUCCGAGCGUUGUUCGGAAUUACUGGGCGUAAAGGGCUCGUAGGCGGCCAACUAAGUCAGACGUGAAAUCCCCAGGCUCAACCUGGGAACUGCGUCUGAUACUGGAUGGCUUGAAUCCGGGAGAGGGAUGCAGAAUUCCAGGUGUAGCGGUGAAAUGCGUAGAUAUCUGGAGGAAUACCGGUGGCGAAGGCGGCAUCCUGGACCGGCAUUGACGCUGAGGAGCGAAAGCCAGGGGAGCAAACGGG
rnacentral:rRNA from 1 species